GAGGUCACUGCUAUCGGUGUUCGAUUAAGCCAUGCGAGUCGUGAGGGGUAAAGCCCUCGGCGGAGUGCUCAGUAACACGUGGACAACCUACCCAAGAGUCAGGGAUAACCCCGGGAAACUGGGGAUAAUACCUGAUAGGCCAUGACAUCUGGAAUCGAGUUGUGGUUUAAACGUAAGGCUCUUGGAUGGGUCUGCGGCGGAUUAGGUUGUUGCCGGUGUAACGUACCAGCAAGCCUGUAAUCCGUACGGGUUGUGGGAGCAAGAGCCCGGAGAUGGAUUCUGAGACACGAAUCCAGGCCCUACGGGGCGCAGCAGGCGCGAAAACUCUACAAUGCAGGCAACUGCGAUAGGGGAACAUCGAGUGGCAUCCACCAUGGAUGUCUGUCCAAUCGUCUAAAAAACGAUUGUCAGCAAGGGCCGGGCAAGACCGGUGCCAGCCGCCGCGGUAAUACCGGCGGCUCGAGUGGUGGCCGAUAUUAUUGAGUCUAAAGGGUCCGUAGCCGGCUUUGCAAGUCCUAUGGGAAAUCCAGCGGCUUAACCGUUGGGCUUUCAUGGGAUACUACAUUGCUUGGGACUGGGAGAGGUAGGAGGUACUCAGGGGGUAGGGGUGAAAUCCUGUAAUCCUUUGGGGACCACCGGUGGCGAAGGCGUCCUACCAGAACAGGUCCGACGGUGAGGGACGAAAGCUAGGGGCACGAACCGGAUUAGAUACCCGGGUAGUCCUAGCCGUAAACGAUGCUCGCUAGGUGUCACGGCAGUCGUGAAUUGUCGUGGUGCCGUAGGGAAGCCGUGAAGCGAGCCACUUGGGAAGUACGACCGCAAG
rnacentral:rRNA from 1 species